GUUCGUUUCUGUGGAGUUUGAUCCUUGAUCUGCAACAGAAUGAACCAGCGGAUUGGACUCCAAUAAAGUCAAGAGAACCUUCUGGUUCUGGUUCUGGUUCAGACCCGGUUCGGCUCCGCCGCCCGCAGCAUUAACGACCCGCCCUCCGCCACGCCGCGGGGUCAGAGGUCGGCCUGCUGUUUGCUUUGGCGCUGAUCCCGUUACAGACCCGAACGGGCCUCACGCAGAACAGAACCAGCUGCUGCGUUCAGCGGAACCAGAAGAGUUUUAACAUUUCUGAAACUUUUUCUUCUUCUGGGUUCUUUUGUUUGGUUCUGGUUGUUCGGGUCCAAAUGAGCCUCGACCCGCCGGGUCAGAAACCUGCAACCAGAAAAAACAAACGGCGGCCGGGUCGGCGCUCCGGGUCCACGCUGUCCGGUUCGGUCCGGGUCAGGAGCUGUUGGGAUCGCUGCAGGCGUUUGUGGAAGAGCGACGACUCGGCGCGCCGUUCAUCAUCACCUGUGUGGGCAGCGUUACCAGGGCAACGCUCAGGCUGGCUAACGCCACAGCAACAAAUACUGAUGAGGUUCUGCGGCUGAGCGGUCGCUAUGAGAUCGUCUCUCUGGUCGGGACGCUCAACGGCGACGCCCACCUCCACAUUGGCCUGGCGGACGCCCAGGGCGCCACGGUGGGCGGCCAUGUUCUGGGCGACCUGGAGGUGUUCACCACCGCCGAGGUCAUCGUGGGCGACGCCGUCGACCUGCGGUUCAGCAGGGAGCCCGACCCGAGGACGGGCUUCCCCGAGCUGGUGGUUCUGACCCCGGCCUGAACCUCGAGGGUUCUGGACCCGAACCCGGUUCUGUCCCUGAUUAAAUCACCGUCGGCUUUCCGUGGCCGACCCAGACCCGAUGAUCAGAACCAGAAACAUUUGUAAACAGCUUUUCUGUGAAAUAAUUGACCUUUGACCCGGCCUGUCUGUUGCUGCUGCGCUGUGAGCGAGCGGUCGCUAUGGAAACUGAUGAAGAAAAGCCGAUUUUCAUGGAUGAAAAGUUUCCAGAUUUGUGUGGAAACUUUAAAUGGCCGCUUUGCUUUGUUGUUUCUGACCAAGAUAAUCCUAAAUCUCCCAGCAUGCCCCCCGCCCCCCCACUGCCCCCGCGCCGCCAUUAAAGUGCAGCUACAAAGCUGUGGAGGCGUUGGCGGUCUGCGGCCCCCUGGGGCCCCAUCUGAGGCGUUGUCACGGCGAUUACCGCUCCCAGCUGCUUUCAGCCUCAUUUCACAUCAUCAGAGCAGCGGACAUGUUGGCUCAGAGAUCGGCUUUAUUGAUCCCUAAUGAUCGGCUUUAUUCAUCCUUAAUGAUCGGCUUUAUUGAUCCCUAAUGAUCGGCUUUAUUCAUCCUUAAUGAUCGGCUUUAUUCAUCCUUAAUGAUCGGCUUUAUUGAUCCCUAAUGAUCGGCUUUAUUGAUCCCUAAUGAUCGGCUUUAUUGAUCCCUAAUGAUCGGCUUUAUUGAUCCCUAAUGAUCGGCUUUAUUGAUCCCUAAUGAUCGGCUUUAUUCAUCCCUAAUGAUCGGCUUUAUUGAUCCCUAAUGAUCGGCUUUAUUCAUCCUUAAUAAUCAACAGAUCUGAAUUCUGCCAACACAGUUUCUCUCCUCAUGACCUUUGACCUGCUAACUGAGUUUGUCUCUGAGCAUCACUGGGAGGCUUUCCUGUCUGGUUUGGAGAUGACCUUUGGAGAUGACCUUUGACCCCUCCCAGGUUGAUGAACACCAGUUGCCUCUGUAUGUUUACGUUUCCUCUAAGCUGCUGAUUGUGGCGUUGGCUCCGUUAAACAUGAUGCAUCAUGUGUUGCCAGGCAGAUUUAAUUUUAGGAACUUAUUUACCAGCAGGGUCCACCGCUAGCUGCUAGCCUUCAGCACUAGCCAUGAUCAUUAGCUCUGCUGAUGCACUAUGCUACAUGGUAUUUUGCUGAAGCUAAUGCUAUAGUGCUAACCCUUGAGCUAAUGCUAUAGUGCUAACCCUUGACCUAAUGGUAUAGUGCUCACCCUUGAGCUAAUACUGUAGUGCUAACCCUUGAGCUAAUACUGUAGUGCUAACCCUUGAGCUAAUGCUGUAGUGCUAACCCUUGAGCUAAUGCUGUAGUGCUAACCCUUGAGCUAAUGCUGUAUUGCUAACCCUUGAGCUAAUGCUGUAUCGCUAACCCUUGAGCUAAUGCUAUAGCGCUAACCCUUGAGCUAAUGCUAUAUCGCUAACCCUUGAGCUAAUGCUAUAGCGCUAACCCUUGAGCUAAUGCUAUAUCGCUAACCCUUGAGCUAAUGCUGUAGUGCUAACCCUUGAGCUAAUGCUAUAUUGCUAACCCUUGAGCUAAUGCUUUAGUGCUAACCCUUUAGCACCAAUUUACCGUUGAUGUUAAAAUUCAUAUGUCCUUUUUAAUAACAAAGAAAACAAAUGAGUGUAGCAAAAACCUGUUAACCAAGAACUUUGUUUUGUUUGAAAUCAAAUUAUUAGACAAAAAGACAAUUAUAAACAAGCUUCAAAAAUUCA